AGUGAACGCUGGCGGUAGGCCUAACACAUGCAAGUCGAACGGCAGCACAGGAGAGCUUGCUCUCUGGGUGGCGAGUGGCGGACGGGUGAGGAAUACAUCGGAAUCUGCCCAGUCGUGGGGGAUAACGUAGGGAAACUUACGCUAAUACCGCAUACGACCUUCGGGUGAAAGAGGGGGAUCGCAAGACCUCUCGCGAUUGGAUGAGCCGAUGUCGGAUUAGCUAGUUGGCGGGGUAAUGGCCCACCAAGGCGACGAUCCGUAGCUGGUCUGAGAGGAUGAUCAGCCACACUGGAACAGAGACACGGUCCAGACUCCUACGGGAGGCAGCAGUGGGGAAUAUUGGACAAUGGGCGCAAGCCUGAUCCAGCCAUACCGCGUGGGUGAAGAAGGCCUUCGGGUUGUAAAGCCCUUUUGUUGGGAAAGAAAUCUUUCAGGCUAAUACCCUGGGAGGAUGACGGUACCCAAAGAAUAAGCACCGGCUAACUUCGUG
rnacentral:rRNA from 1 species